rnacentral:SRP_RNA from 2 species
GUCGAGCUAAGUAACGAGAGCUUGUGACCCAAGUGGGGACAAUAAGAUGGUGGAACACUGGUUUGGUCCACGGGUCGGGUCUGGUGUGGCAAGUUUCUGAGCUGCCCAGUCCAAGCUGAGAGUUAUCUGUCUGGUUUGAGCGAAGGCUCGAAUCAGGUGGGUGCUAAAGUCGGAAGGCAAUGCGUCAGGCUGGUUUCACAGAGCAGCGACUACUUCCCGCUCUCUGCAGUGGACGGAUAACGGCUCGGCGCCACUCAGAUCCACUAUGGCCUGCUCUGGUUCGUUCUCAGCUGAACCACUAUUUUU